rnacentral:rRNA from 1 species
CUACGAAGGGGGCUAGCGUUGUUCGGAAUUACUGGGCGUAAAUCGCGCGUAGGCGGAUUGGUCAGUUAGGGGUGAAAUCCCAGGGCUUAACCCUGGAACUGCCUCUAAUACUGCCAGUCUUGAGUUCGGGAGAGGUGAGUGGAAUUCCUAGUGUAGAGGUGAAAUUCGUAGAUAUUAGGAAGAACACCAGUGGCGAAGGCGGCUCACUGGCCCGAUACUGACGCUGAGGCGCGAAAGCGUGGGGAGCAAACAGGAUUAGAAACCCCGGUAGUCC